rnacentral:rRNA from 1 species
CCUACGGGAGGCAGCAGUGAGGAAUAUUGGUCAAUGGACGAGAGUCUGAACCAGCCAAGUAGCGUGAAGGAUGAAUGCCCUAUGGGUGGUAAACUUCUUUUAUAAAGGAAUAAAACGAGGCACGUGUGCCUUUUUGCAUGUACUUUAUGAAUAAGGAUCGGCUAACUCCGUGCCAGCAGCCGCGGUAAUACGGAGGAUCCGAGCGUUAGCCGGAUUUAUUGGGUUUAAAGGGAGCGUAGAUGGGUUGUUAAGUUAGUUGUGAAAGUUUGCGGCUCAACCGUAAAAUUGCAAUUGAUACUGGCAGUCUUGAGUACAGUUGAGGUAGGCGGAAUUCGUGGUGUAGCGGUUAAAUGCUUAGAUAUCACGAAGAACCCCGAUUGCGAAGGCAGCUUACUAAACUGUGACUGACAUUGAUGCUCGAAAGUGUGGGUAUCAAACAGGAUUAGAUACCCUUGUAGUC